UACGUAGGGACCGAGCGUUGUCCGGAUUCAUUGGGCGUAAAGAGCUCGUAGGCGGCCACUCAAGUCGAAUGUGAAACCUCGAGGCUUAACCUCGAGCCUGCAUUCGAUACUGGGCGGCUAGAGUAUGGCAGGGGAGACUGGAAUUCCUGGUGUAGCGGUGAAAUGCGCAGAUAUCAGGAGGAACACCGGUGGCGAAGGCGGGUCUCUGGGCCAAAACUGACGCUGAGGAGCGAAAGCGUGGGGAGCGAACAGG
rnacentral:rRNA from 1 species